rnacentral:lncRNA from 1 species
AGGCAGGAGGAGGGACUUCUUUUCGGACGAUCUGUGAGAGCAAAGCAGACAAGAUGUAGGCAGGGGACUGAUAGUUCUGGUGGCGGAAUCCACCACUGGAAGAUUUCGAACAUAGAAUAGUUGAUGAAUUUAGGAUGAUAGAGUCCGUGCCCAGCGAUUGUGUGAUCUGUUGAUUCUAAACUAAGAUUGUCGGGUGUAUUCCAUUCUGCAACGAUUCAACUGAGCGCCAGUGAAAGGUAUGUAUUUUACUUCAAAAUGAUCCAAACUUAUAUUUUAACCAAACACGGGGGAAUUUCAUUGCUGCCACAUCUAGCAGACGGCACAAAAUAGCACCUGGUUGGAGGAACUAAUUAGGGAUGUUUCUGCACAACGAAUCAGAAGAAUGAAAAGACGUGGAAACCUCUCCUGUCUGAAAUUCAAGCUCACACUCCUGUCCUCUGUUCCUUUCCUUAAAGCUCCACUGGAUGCGGGACUAUUUUUCAAAAUUAAAGUGACCAACACUGGAGAUAAAGUAGUUGGGAUUAAACCUGAAGGCUUAUUUCACCACACUAAAGGAAAGAAAGACCACUGUAUUGUGUCUUACGAAGGCCAUGGUAGGAGGAUGGAGUGUCUGCUGAUCUAUAUGAACAAGGAGCGGCUGGAAAACCAGAAACGUAACUUCUGGAAGUUGGAGCUAUCCAUCUGGCUUACUUACUGAGAACUGUAGGCACCCGCACUGCAAGCAUUAUUUAUAUACUAAGUAAUGCAUUUAAGAUUUAUGAGGAAUGAGAAGUCACACCACACCUAGAAGGGUGUGAACACGGAAUGCCUGCACUCAGGGAGAGAUCUGCGUCAGCUGUAUUUUUGAUCAAAAGUUGUUCCCAUAGUGACAACACUCUCCCCCUUAUCAGUAUUUCUUCUUGUUACUUGGUUACCAAAAUAUGAAAUGAAUACUGAAUGCAGGUCAUGAGCAUGAGAGCGAAUAUAAAGCUAACUAGUUAUCUAGGUCUAACUCUGUCAUGAUUUUUCUUUAUAUUUUUGGUGGUGGUUAAAUACAUAAAUAUAUUCAGUGGUCUAAGUAUAGAACCCAAUAUGAAGCCCACAGCCUCCAAAUGCCUAUUGUAACUUCCCAGAAGUUCACUGAGGUAUACAAACCUUAGGUCUAAUAAAUUCACUGUGUAAUUUUUUUAUUUACAUAAUUGUUAAAAUAAAAUUUAUUAAAAUGUA